GUUUAAUUUAAUUUUGUAGACAUGGUAGCUAAAAGCUGAAUUACUUUGUCUGUGCUUUGGAAAGGACCAAGGAUGAUGCACUUCUGUGUCUUGAUUGGAUAAACUGCUGCAGAAAUGGAGGAAAACUCUAAAUCUAAGAAAUUACAGAGGCCCAAGCUCAAAGGCUUCGUGCCAAAGCCUCCAUGUGGCCCCAGACGAGCUGCAAGGCAAAGGCAGGGAGGGAGUCGAGGCAACCAAGGUCAGAGACCGAGGCAACCAAGGUCAGCAGAGGACUGCUGGAGUCUGCUCAACGCUACCCCCUCUGUUGGCCACCACUAGUUACAACGUUCUUCCACCUAUCAAACGCACCGCUUCAGUAACAGUCACAACACUAAAGACUACUGGUGGGUGACACAGUAGAUAGUUCAACAUUCUUUCUUAUGGGAUAGCCUGAUCUGCUGGUAUUUUUAUGAAUAUGAGCUUGUUCUGCUUCAGAGCCAUUAGGCCACCAGCUGACACCUGAGGGUGGGGAAAGGGGCUAUUUCUCUUCAUCCCAGGUGAUGAAGAGAAAUAGUGAGCCCAGAGUAGAAUGAUGUCACCUCUCUCAUGGCUAUGUCACGUCCAUUGUCCGGAGAGGAGGUAAUCCCGGUAGCUGAAUACCUGAUGUCACACCCGUGAGUCCUGUUCUUGCUAUGAACCAUUUAUUGUCCAAUAGAAGAAAUAGAAUCCUUGUGUUUUUGUCAGUCUACUAAUCAAGGAAUUGUAUUGUUUGUGUAUUCCAGUCAGCGGAGGUUGAUUAAGAAAGUACUUAGAAAAAGGGUACACAUAUUUUUUCCUUGUACACUGUCUGUCAUCUUGCCAAAAACAUAUUUUGAUAUCAAACUACUUGGAAAUGAUGUCACCUAUGUUGUUGCUUUACGUUUCUCUUCCUAAGAACAUGACCAUAGACGAUCUGCAGGAACGGUCAGUGGAGUCCAUUGAUUGGGUGGUCGUUGUAGUCAUUGAUUGUCGUCAUGGUCGUCAUGUCACCCCGCUCCUCCGCACACUCCACUGGCUUCCAGUUGAGGCUCGC